GUGAGAUGGCUUAACUAACAGGUACAGAGUGAGAGACAGCUCCAGUUUAUGGAUCCAGUGUGAGACUGCUCAGCUAACAGGUACAGAGUGAGAGACAGCUCAGUUUAUAGAUCCAGUGUGAGACAGCUUAGCUAACAGGUGCAGAGUGAGAGACAGCUCAGUUUAUGGAUCCAGUGUGAGACAGCUCAGCUAACAGGUGCAGAGUGAGAGACAGCUCAGUUUAUGGAUCCAGUGUGAGACAGCUCAGCUAACAGGUGCAGAGUGAGAGACAGCUCAGUUUAUAGAUAUUUUAGUUUGGGUGAGGUGCUGGGAGACGUGACCUUUGUGACAGACAUAGCAGCAUAUCAGAAAAACUAUCUCUAUGGAACCUUUACAUGUUAAACUGCUAAUAUUCCUUUAUUCGUGCUACGAACUCACACAGUGCAAAUGGCGAACGCAAAGUCAAUUCUACGUUUAUUCCAAAUAUUAGGGCACCAUAGCCACACUGAAAAAGGCUGAGAAUUGUCAGGAAUUCAAAGUAAAUUUCAAAGUAAAGGCCA